GAGAUGAAUCCAAAAAUUUCAGAUUUUGGAAUGGCUAGAAUACUCAAAGGUGACCAAAUACAACACAAGACUCAUAGAGUUGUUGGGACAUAUGGCUAUAUGUCGCCAGAAUAUGCUGUGUUUGGAAAAUUUUCAAUAAAGUCUGAUGUAUUUAGUUUUGGAGUAAUAUUGUUGGAGAUUAUAAGUGGCAAGAAAAGUAAUGGUUUCCAUCAAGAGGAUCCUUCCCUAACCUUGAUAGGACAUGUGUGGGAGCUAUGGAAAGAAGGCAGAGCAUUGGAGAUGGUUGACUCAACACUAAAGGAAGCAUACAAUUCCCAUGAAGUUAUGAAAUGUAUUCGCAUUGCACUUCUAUGUGUGCAAGAAGAUGCAAUGGAUAGACCAACUAUAUCAGCAAUUAUUCUCAUGUUGGACAGCGAAAUCGAUCUUCCUUAUCCAAAACAACCUGCUUUCAUUUUCAGAACUUCUUGCAGCAGUUCAUCAAUAUGGGAAGGACGAAGUUCUAUAAAUGAAGUGACAAUCACUGAAACUGUACCUCGCUAAUUGAAGAGUACAUGCUCUCGUAGACAACAUUAAAAUUCUAAUUGUGCAGAAUUUUAUGAUACCUCAUGUGAAUUUUUGUUAGAUUAGCAUAACAUCCAUCAUAAUCAACUGUGUACCUAUCCGUAGCAGCAAGUCUGAUUCUUGAUUCAUUUUAGGUUGUUUUCAGGGUUUUAGAGACAUUGAGGGGGAAAAAAAAUCAUUUAAGAUCUUUU
rnacentral:misc_RNA from 1 species